UACGAAGGGGGCUAGCGUUGCUCGGAAUCACUGGGCGUAAAGGGUGCGUAGGCGGGUCUUUAAGUCAGGGGUGAAAUCCUGGAGCUCAACUCCAGAACUGCCUUUGAUACUGAAGAUCUUGAGUUCGGGAGAGGUGAGUGGAACUGCGAGUGUAGAGGUGAAAUUCGUAGAUAUUCGCAAGAACACCAGUGGCGAAGGCGGCUCACAGGCCCGAUACUGACGCUGAGGCACGAAAGCGUGGGGAGCGAACAGG
rnacentral:rRNA from 1 species